rnacentral:rRNA from 1 species
AGUGAACGCUGGCGGUAGGCCUAACACAUGCAAGUCGAACGGCAGCACAGUAAGAGCUUGCUCUUACGGGUGGCGAGUGGCGGACGGGUGAGGAAUACAUCGGAAUCUACUUUUUCGUGGGGGAUAACGUAGGGAAACUUACGCUAAUACCGCAUACGACCUACGGGUGAAAGCAGGGGAUCUUCGGACCUUGCGCGAUUGAAUGAGCCGAUGUCGGAUUAGCUAGUGGGCGGGGUAAAGGCCCACCAAGGCGACGAUCCGUAGCUGGUCUGAGAGGAUGAUCAGCCACACUGGAACUGAGACACGGUCCAGACUCCUACGGGAGGCAGCAGUGGGGAAUAUUGGACAAUGGGCGCAAGCCUGAUCCAGCCAUACCGCGUGGGUGAAGAAGGCCUUCGGGUUGUAAAGCCCUUUUGUUGGGAAAGAAAAGCAGCAGGUUAAUACCCCGCUGUUCUGACGGUACCCAAAGAAUAAGCACCGGCUAACUUCGU